rnacentral:rRNA from 1 species
AUUGAACGCUGGCGGCAGGCCUAACACAUGCAAGUCGAACGAGUGGCGGACGGGUGAGUAAUGUCUGGGAAACUGCCUGAUGGAGGGGGUUACCUACUGGAAACGGUAGCUAAUACCGCAUACUACCAGAGGUGCCCAGAUGGGAUUAGCUGGUUGGUGGGGUCACGGCUCACCAAGGCGACCAUCCCUAGCUGGUCUGAGAGGAUGACCAGCCACACUGGAACGGCGACACGGUCCAGACUCCUACGGGAGGCAGCAGUGGGGAAUAUUGCACAAUGGGGGCAAGCCUGAUGCAGCCAUGCCGCGUGUAUGAAGAAGGCCUUCGGGUUGUAAAGUACUUUCAGCAGGGAGGCGUUACCCGCAGAAGAAGCACCGGCUAACUCCGUGCCAGCAGCCGCGGUAAUUC